CAGCAGUGCAAGGUGAAGGUGUGUUACGGUGUCUUCUCGCUCUUUAAGGACCCUGGGAGAUUCUCUGGAUUAUUUACAGCACGUCGGAAGAUCCUCUGAGCAUACACAGAAGCCGCAGAUUUGCGGUUAUCAUACGUCAGCCAGACGAAGCCUCAUGUGAGGACUCAUCACCCAACAUGAGAACCUCAUCGUUGACAACUACGAUCAUCAAGCCUAACCAUCUGAGAGGUCCAGCCUCUCGCCCAGCAACGUGUUGUGUUAAACCAAUGGUCCUAGAUGACAUCACUGAAGAUGGCAAAGACCAGUUGCUGAACAUCACUGAAGAAUCAAGUAGCAAAGACCAUUCCAGAGUACCAGGAACAACCACCUGUAAAGAAA